GCAAACUUCAUCUGCUGAGGAACAGUGUGAUACGAUCGAGAGUUCCUGAACAAGCGACGACUGGAAGAAGUGAGGAUCGGCCAGAAUGACUUCACCUUGCAGAAAUGUCCCCUGAUGGCCUCAACUCUUAUUACUGUUUCUAUAUGCUAAUAAGAGGCCAUGACCUUUCUGCGUAUACCAUCAUUUUACCCCACAUGAUAAAGUGAAGUCAUAGCAGGCGCGAGGCGGAAGG